AUCAUCUACUAUAUUCCAGGCACUGUACUAGGCAUAUUUUCCAAAUUUAUCUCAUUUCACCUGUAUUAAAACCAUUUUGGGAUAGAUUAUUAUUCCUUUUAUAUACAUGAGAAGACAGAGGUUCAGAAAAGUAGAAUAAAUUUACUAAGCCCUCUCAGCUAAGACGCUGAAUUAGAAUUUGAACCCAGGGUGUCUGGCUCCUAAACUUGUGUGUUCUUCUCAUCCAGGGCCCAAGAACAAGAAUGCGGGAACAAAGUAUAGUGACCAGACUACACUGCUUAUCAGCAUGAAUCGAACACUAAAGACCGUUUAGCAAGUCUGCUUUUACUUGGGAGAGACGGAGGAGGGGGAGAAGGGUGGUGUGAAAAAAAUUGUUUUGGUGCGGUUCAAUCUACUCUCAGCACCCUGUGCCAGCCAGAUAAGCUGAGCCUCUCUCAAUAGGCGACCUUGUUAUUGUAGCAUCAGAGAAAAGGUGACCUGGGUAGAGACUAACCCCAACUUGGACCAGAACUUCCAUCCAAGGUAACUGACGACUCUUGUUAGAUAAGAGUCACAAUUUUCAGCCCUGCCCAGGAAUAUCUGUGGGAAUAAAGGCUCUAAUAAAAUGGAAGUUAGCCUGCAUGCUUGUCUCCUGCCCUGAACUAGGAGCAGCUCAGCAAGACAGAAAUCCCAAAGCAGCGACUUGUCUUGGAGGCCAAUGACUUAGUCACCCCAACCUCUAUCAUGCUGCUCCUUCUGCAGAAAACAAGCCCCGGACUCUGCCUUCUGGGAUGGAGCGUGAGCCCUACUGGCCUUCUGCAACCCAGCUCAGGAAGUUUGCUGCUUCCUUAUUUGAGAUGCAUUAUUAAACUGUAAUCAUAUUGUGAGGGGAGCCAGCCAAAGCAGUGGCUAUUAAUAGGGAGGUAAGAAAGCUGACUCGGGAGGAAGCUGACUUAGGCUGGAGGGGAGAGCCUGGCCACCUUGGCCUACAAUCCUUGGCAAGAAGUCAGCGGGAAAGAGACCUGAGCUCAUUUCGUUCCUGGGCCAGAGUGAGCACUAUCUGGAUUUCUCAACUUUGGAAAGAGAAACCUGAAGCAGUCCUGAUCUAAGGGAUAUAGAGCCGUCUUCCCUGGGUCCUUGGGGAGUCUCAGAGCCCUGAGAACAAACAGCUUAGAUAGCUAUGACUCAGCAGAGCAGCAGCUCGCCCCUCACAAUGUCAGCAGUCCAUGCGACUUGGAAAAGGACGCUGGGGCUACAUUUCUGUGGCCUCCCUCAGCUGAGAAGCCAGAGCUGACCCAGCCCUUAGCAGGCCAGAGCUCCCCAUUGGCAGAGACAUCUGAGUAGGGAGAUUCUAUUUCUGGCUUCUUGAUAAGGCUUGGGGGAGUGGGUGUUACAGAAAGGUGGAAGCAGAGAGGUGAAGGCCCACAAUGACCGAAGGGCAUAGUGCAGAAGGGCCUGAUGAUGGGGGAGAAAUUUUUCAGUAAUUUCUGUAAAUGCAAUGCAUUUUUCAGAAAGUUAAGAUUUUAGCCAUUUGGUACACUUGCCACCAUCUGGCAGCUGGAAGCAGGAUCAAUUCCAAAAUCCGGCCCAUGGCACGCCACAGGAAAACUAGAACCGCUCCUGGAUGCUGGGUUCAUAGUAUCCCUUACUUUGUACCAGCACUGAACACGUGCUCUCCAUGUGCCGCUACAUUUAGUCCACACCAACCCCUCCAGAUCCGAGGUCAGGGGGAUCAGGGUCUGCGUGUGUGUUGCCAGGAGGUGCUGAGAAGUUGGGGGAGUGACGUGUAAUCUUCUCCCCUUCCCUCAGUGGGGUAGGUAUGCCCAGGUGAGUUUUCUCAAAGUGAAAGGUUCGUUUUGGUUCCUGGAUCUCUGAAGAAGGAGGUUGAGGUGGAGUUAGGGUGUGGGAGAUUUUUUUUCCCAUCCUUCCUAAAAAUAUUUAUUAAGUGCCUAUUGGGCUCAGCUCCGGGUGGCCCGGGCACUUUCAAUUUAUAGAAUAAUCUAAAGACAGCAUUGAUCUGGUAUUUUUCUCUGCUGUUUUUCACAUAUUCUAGAACUAUCCUCAUGUGUACAUGUCUUCAGAGUUAAACAAUUGUCACAGUCUACUUACCUACAUGGAUCUAUGAAAUACCUUUUCACAGAAAAGAAAGAAGUGACUUUCCUUCCACUGAUUGCCAUAUGGGCCACUUCCUGAACCUGAAAGAGAUGCCGUACCCCGAACACCAGGUCCUCAGCUCUAGCAAAUACAGGAGGGACAAGUUUCAGCCUCCGGCUGUCAGGGAGCAGCAAAUACAGAGGUGGGACCAGACCAGGCUCAUGGGAGUUUGUUCAUCAUUUCAUAGCCAUAUUAUGACCCAGUGUGAGAGGGCUGGAGAGUAAUUUCCAAGCCCUUAGGAAGUAGAUAGUCUAAGCCAUUGUUUUUGGGUUUUACGUGCUCUUGUGGUCAAUUCCUUUUUCUUCCUUUUUUUGAAAGGCAAACAAAUAGCCUAACAGCAAUAACAGUCAACAGGAUGGUGGCACAUCCGGGUUCAGACUCCAGCCUCCUCUUGCUGUAGUCAAAGUUAAUUAAUUCCCACUAUGCUUUGAACUAGGUUCCCUGCAGGUCUGUGCUGGGCCCUGCCCUGGCUGUCAGGGGAGGGCAUGGCUGGUUUGGCUCUCCGUGUGCUGUCCUGCGCAGGGGGAUGGAGAAGGGGCUGACAACAGAGUCGACCUCUUUGAGGCAGAAGCAUUCUGGCGUUUUGCACAGAGGAAACAGAACCAAAGUUGCCCUCGGGCCAAGGGGCUGACUCCUUGACCACUGGGUCAGUAUACAAACAGGGGUGGCAUCUCCAUGGUUCUGUUAUCUCAGUCUCUGCGGUAAACACCAGGCCCCAUGAUGGCUGCUUUGCUGAGGCUGAUUCAAAGAAGCACAGUGUGGAAUCACGAGGAGAAGGCAGGCCCAUAAAUCUCUGCCUGAGCACACUGAGGGUUUCAGGAGCUUGAGCAGCUCUGGACUCCAGCUGGCUGUCCCCCUUGCCCUCCCUCGUGCAUUAGCAAGCACUUCUUCCAAGGUUGCCACCCUUGGAGGGUUUCUUGCCCCAACCUCACCAGAUCAGGAGCUGAGGAAUGAGAGAAAAAACAACCAUUUGAGGCUGCCCAGAUGACAGAAUGUCCCUAAAAACAUGUACCUCCUUGCACUCAAGUGAUUGGAGCCCCCACAGUCUGCAGUAUUAGAAAGUGUCAUUUCGAGGGCGUGGUGAGAGGACUGGCUCCCUCCAGGCCACUCAUGAGCGGAAGCUGUGAGAAACUAACCAAAGCUUGGAGUUAUGUCUCCAAUUGGCUGGGUGAGGUGGGAAGUUCAGCCUCAGAGAGGGCCCGUCGUUGAUACAGUUGAUGAGCAAGAUGAAUCAGCAAAGACUGAGACGUGCCCAUCACACUUGGCAAUUCCCUAUUGCUUCUCCUCUGGGGAGCAAACAGACUUCAGUGGCUUUUCUCCGAGGCCAAGUUUCUUACCCAAAUCUUUCCCUGGGGUCUUUGGUCUGAAAUUAGAAAGGAGUUAGGAGUCAGCAGGAAAAUCACUCUUCAUUGUGAAUUACACAGCAACUCUUCAUGGAACUGCCCGUCUCCUUCCUCUAGGUACACAUCGAUCAUCAUCAAUCAAUCCGAGAAUUUCUCAAAUAUCCACCACAGACUCAGAAAUGGGCAUUUAGGCACAUGGUUCAAGUUUCAGUUUCUUCCAGCAGAUGACAUGUGGGGUAAGAAAAGGAUUGGAGGACAGAUAAGUAGCUGAGCAAUCCCCAAAUCUGCUUUUUUGAGGCUGGUUUCAGUGCAGCUCCUUGGAAUUGAUUCUGGGCAGCUGUUAAUUGCAAAACUCACUGCCAAUUAUCGAUAGCUAAAGUGGCAUUGGAGAGCUGCUGAUGGUAAAAAUAGGGGCAGGUAAUAAUGAGAAAAUAGCUUUGCAUUUAGAACAGAGGAUGGAAACAUAUUGUCUCCAACUGCUGUGUCGUGGGUUUCCAUUGUUAACUUGGGUUCUCUCCCAGGACCAGCCAGCAAAGCCUACUUAGUGACCUCCAGCAAAAAGUCCACCAGUGAGCUGCGCAGGAUGAGAUCAAAGCUUUGUCUCGGCAGCCAGACCAGAGGAGAUCCUGGUUCUCACUAUGCUCAGAGUCACAUUAAACAAACAAUACCACAGUUUUCACUAAAACCCGUUGAAUUUUAAAUGUACUGUUGACUAAAUUAGGGAGUUAUCGUUCAGUUGAUCUGGUAAUCCAUUUGUCCACCAAACUUCAGAUUUACAAACAAUGGUUUUCUGGGAAAGCCUCUUGAAGCCUGGAUGGUAAAUGUUUACCUUAAAAAAGCAAAAACUGAAGAAGGCAAAAGUGGCCUGGUGAGUAAAACCAAAAGCCUGCAGCAGACGGUCACGUUGCUGGACUGUUUGUUUUGAAAAAUGUUCCCAUUCCGAGCCUUGACAUUGGGGAAAUUAGGAACAUGGUAACCGACUUCCUGUCUAGUAUUUCCCUGGAUUUCCUGGAAUCCAAUUUGAAGUGUCGUUUUCCCCUGAACCACCAAGGAGUUAAACUUUGGCUCUGUUCUCCCAGUGACUAAUAGGCACCGUGUGGCUCUGAGAUCAGCGAGAAAGAAACUGACAGUCGGCGUGGGAAGUGUGCGAGAUUUCAGUGCUCUUGAAAUGCCUUUGAUGGGCAUGGUGAGCGAGCACAAGGAUUAUUGCCACCUAGAGCCCCUGAUUGUGUAAUUUGAUCUUGAAUUCUUGUUUCUCUCUUUGAAUUUUGCUUGAUUUUAAAGGAGGAUCUCGGACUCCUUUGGGGGCUUGAUAUGACUGCAGUGUGUGAGUUAUUCCACGGAGAAUGAUAUUUUAGGCAACAAACUAAUUCCACCACUUUGAAAAAUAACCCACUUUGGUUGAAAACAAAGCAGAAUCAAGUGACCUGACCAAAUGGCACUUGACGUGUGUUAGGGAGACUUGUCUUCCCGCUCUUGCUGUUUUCUUUCUUGUGAAAGGAGCCCAAUUAGCAUAACACUCCUGGCUUCUCACCACCCUCCCCCACCCCCAUUCUUCCCUGGGAAGGAGGAGUGGUUUAAGAUGACUGAUGAGUUUGGAAGGAGAAACUAUGCCUCAUACCAUCUUCUCUUCCUUUCUUCUUGGGAGUCAACACUCCUCCCGCAGGGUGGAAAGGAGAGGCCCAUUCUGGCCCAGCUGCCUAUUGCUGAGUGUCCACGUAUGAUUUUGAGGCCAAGUGUCAGGAAGCUCAUUGGCCUGAGAAUGUAAGCCACAUUCUCUAAUAUCAGCCUUAUUAGUAAUAAAGGUUAUUUUCGGUCCUCAUCUAGCUUACUGCUAUCUUACUUCUGAUUCACUUCAAAACUCGCAGAAAAGGGGAGGCGACUGCUAUUUUGAGGUCUCCUCAAAGACCCCAACAUAUUUACCAGGCGGCUUCCUGGUGGUUAGAAAAAGCCUUGUGUUGGGAUGAAACCCUGGCUUCUAGAACCACAUCACUACUUUCUUAUAGAACAACAGGUUCUUUAGUUGUCAAAUGAGUAAAGGGGAGUUUAUAGAAGGUGUUCCUUCCAGCUGAAAUGUAUCCAUUCAAAACUUAUUUAUUGAAUGCCUACUAUGUGCCAGGGAGUACAACGGUGAUCAAGAGAGACAGUCUCUGCUGCCACACAGUUUAUAAUCUAACUAGGGUGCAUCAAUUAGAAAGUUUAAUGUUCCAAGUGAAAUGAAACCAUCUCAAACAGGCUGAAGCAAUAAGGAAAAUUUAUUGGCUCACUGGGGAUCCAGGCACGAUUUGAUCCAGGACUCAAACAACAGGGAUCCAUUUCUUGGCUCUGCUUCCUCUGGGUGGGAUUCAUUCUUUUGUCACCAUAUGAUGCAACCCCUCCUCUCUCCUGGCAGCUCCACACUUUCCACUAUGACUGCAGGAGAAAUAAGAUGUACUGUUUACCAGGCUGAGAAGAGUCCAAGUGCCAACAUUCCCUACAGACUCCUGAGGUCCACUCUGAUUAGACCAUUUCAGGGCACAGGCCUCCCCUAAAGCGAUGACCUAGCUCAGAGUGAUAGAUACACUGAUGGGCUCAAACCCAGUGGGGUCCAUCCCUGGAUGGAGGAAAGUUGGGCCCUCCCUACAUGGCUCAGAAAUUUAGAAAUCUAUUAGGAAGAGAGAGGGGGCAGCAACCAGUAACUGUCCACGAUAGAAAGACAAUAUAUAAAAUGAGAAUUUUGCUUUGAGGGAACAAUUCAGCCUGUAGAAAAUGCAGGUAUCCCCUAAUUCCCUGGUGAGUCUAGCACAGGCCUGGGAAUCCAGAGAAUUGGCUUCCAAAUCCUGUGCAGGGCCCCUAUACACAACAGGCCCUCAGGAAAGUUCUGGAGGUUGACAGACUUUGCUCCUUGAUCUCACCUCUCUGGAACUGCCCUUGGGUUGGAUUCUCCUGCUCUGUGAUCCCUUUUCUUUUUUUGGAAAGGAGGAUAACAUGUACCUGAGAGGGACACUAAAAGGAUAACUGAGGUGACAUCCACAAAGCAUCUGUCACUAAAUAAACCCAAGCUAUCUAUUGACCUGUGCUUGUGACUCUUUCAGAUUUAAGGACAUUUAGCCAGUGGUUUAGGGGCUAAACAUUAACCACAUUGGGGCAGAUCAGCACCACAGGAGCUAUGAGCCGUGAAGAUACACAGGCCUUUGGUGUUCUAAGUUCAAAAGAUCUGUGUGAAACAAGGUAUAACCCAAAUUAGUUGAAAAUGGACAGCAAUACAGUCAAACAUGCCAGAUACGGAGAGUGCUCCAGCUAAGUACCACAGCUAGUUCUCAAAAGGUAUGAGUAUUUGCCAAGCAACCCAGAAGUACCAGCGGGGCCUGAGCAAUCCUUUGCUUCUUCAUUCAACAAACAUUUAUUGGGUACCCCCUAUACAAGUAGCUACUGUAGGAACACAAUCAAUGAUGAGACUGACACAAAUCCUUUUCAGAAAAAAGAAGGAAUCUCCAUUUAUCAAUAGGUAAAUUAUUAUAAGAAACCAGAUUACUAUAUGCAAAGCUAAAAUGAAUUCAAGAUCUACUAUGAUACCAGAGACAGAAGGUAAAACUAGUUUCAUUUUGUGGAGGAAGUUGGAGAAGGAGUGGGCCAUGCCUACCAAAUGAAUCUUGCAUUAAGGCAUAGACAAAUGUAUAGGGUUAAGUUGAGAGAUUGCGAUCAACUACACAGUCUUUUUUGGUCUCCCAAAUAAAUGUGACUCAGUCCUCUGAACACCCUCCAGCAGCAGUUAUUUGCACCUUUCUUACUGUUCCUAUUCUGACUCAUAUCACAGUCAAUUAUUUAUUCAUUCAAUUAUUCGGUCAAUCACUCAUUGAACAUUUAGGGCAAGCUUGAUAUGCACCAAGAACUACGUCAAAGGCCAGGAUACAAAACACAGUGAAACAUGGUCCCUAUGUUCUAGGACUUCCGUCUAGGUGGGGAAAGAGACAUAUAAAAAGUAAUUAUACUAUAAUAUGGGAGGUACUAUCAUAGAAGCAUGUACUAGGUGCUUGGAGGCGAAGGUUUCACAAAAGAGGUGACAUCUGAGUGGAUCUUGAAGAGAACAGGAGUUUUCUAGGCUGAAAUUCCAGAGUAUCUGAAAAGUCCCCAAAAGAGGAGUCAGCACAGUAUGCUGAGGAAAUGGUAAGGAGUUUGGUAUGUGGUAUGUAGGGAGAGUGUCAGAAGAGGAGGUUGAAAAGGUAAGUGGGAUAAAAGGUAAGUCACACAGAGCUUCGUACAUAGGUCUUGCUAUGGACUUUGGACUUUAUUUUAUAGACAAAGGGGAUUUGUUGAAGGACUUUAAGUAAAGGAGGGACAGUAUUAAGUUUGGGCUUUAGAAAGAUAUUCUGGUAGCAGUCUGAAGGAAGAAUUAUUGUGGGGAGGGAUUGGAGGCAAAGAAAUUAACAAGAAGAUUAUUUCAAUAAUCUAGGUGAGAAGUCAUAAGGUCUUAAUAGUUGAAAAAGGGAACAGAAUAUGUUUAAGGAAGAAUUGAGAGAUGGAAUCAAAAGACGAUGAUUGAUGGGAGAAGAAGUUAAAAAUGACUUAGAAAUCACUAGCCUGCACAGCUGAGGAAAUGAGGGUUCCAUUAACUGCAGAAGGUAAUAGAAGAGCAGGUUUGGGAGGAAAGAUAAUGACGUUGCGUUUAAGAUGCUUUCAUGACAUUUAGGUAGGCAGGCAGGCCCCAUCGGCUGUUAGGAACAUCUGUCUAGAGUUGAUGAGAGAGAUGGAGGGUAGAGAUUGACCAGGGGAUAGGUAGGUGCUGAGGCCAUGGAAUUCAACGGGACUAGCAUUAAAGGGCAAAGCUUUUGACAGCAGGAGUUUGAUAAUCCCCAGAGCCCCUGGCACAAUACUUUGCAUAAAGCAGACAGUAUCCAUGUAAACACCUACAGAUACACAUAUAGAUACACCGAUUUGGAGAUUACUAAUAAGAGCUAGAUGCCCCGAGAUCUCAAAUUUGGAGCCAUUGCAAUUUUAAAGACUUAUUUUAGGGUCAAAUUGGCAAUAAGAAGAGUACAACUAGUAUACUAAUAUUCAGCGAUUCUAGCCUUCUGUUAAAUUCUGUAAAAACUACUGGUUUCACCUUGUGUAUUUCUUUGCAUUUGGUCUUCCACAGCAGAAACUAUAAAAUGAGGAAGCUAGGGAAAUACAGUUUAUCAGAAUAGGGGAGUUCAGUCACAUUUGCUGGAACACAGAAAUUGGUGUCAAUGUGUUUGACCCUUAGAGAAGUCAUUUUGAGGCAACUUCAUGGUGUUUGGGGAACUAAGCAAUGUCGUCUUCAAAUGUUAUACAAUGCUACUUUUUUUUCGCAUUUGCUCAUUCUUUCACAAAGCAUUGUUUGAGCACUUGGUGUGUUCCAGACAUUGUGCUGGGGACAAAAGACAUCUUCUCAUCCCUCAAAGAGCUCAUGGUCCAGUAGGGAACAUAGACAAGAGAAUAUAAUGAAAAUACACUAUGAAGUGCUGUGAUAGAAGUAAGCACUGUGUGCAACUGAAGACGGAGAAGGACAACCCAACAUAGGGGGGAGGGAAUGAGGGCAGCAACAUGGUUAGAGAGGUCUUUCCGGAAGAGACAAUGCCUGAGCCAGGUGAUACAAGGAGCGGAUGAGCUUUCAGAUCAAGGGAGAACAACUGUAAAAGCAAGGAAGAACAGAGUUUGUCAUGGCUAAACAUGGAGCGGAAUGGCAAGAGAUGAGCUGGGGAAGAUGGACAGGGAUCUCAUCAGCCUCCUUUAAGCCCUUCUAUGGAGUCUGAACUUUUAGCCUGAAAGCAGUGGAGAGCCAUUGAAGGAUUCUUAUAGAGGACUUCAAAGAAAGCCUUUUGCUUUUUUUUUUUUUUCCUCAUUUUCUAUCCUCCCUCUGUCUCUCUCUGUCACUCUGUCUCUGUUUUGACGGAUUGCCUUCCCUCCCUCCUUCCUUCCUGUAAGCGUGAUUUCAGAAAUUGCAGAGGAUCUGGCCUAUACCUAAAGAGCAGGGGAUUUAUUUAUGGUUUGGCCAUGCUUGGGCUGGAGAAAAAGAAGGCGUUGAAGAUCCCUGAGACCUGGCUUCUGAUGGCAGUAAGAAGCAAAGUGAGAGGAUCCCAGAAAUAAUUCACAUCACCCAGAGAUGCUCCUUCCACUCAAACCUGGGGACACCUGUGUUCAGUUUUAAGGAGGGGACUGUUAUCUCUAAGGUGUGGACAGGAAUCCUAACUGAAGAGAAGUCUACACUCUUGCUACUUAAAAUGGAGUCCCUGGACCAGCAAAAUCAGCAUUACCUGGAAGCUGGUUAGACAAACAGGAUUUCAGGCCCCAUCCUCAACCUACUGAAUCAGAAUCUGCAUUUUUUUUUUUUUUUUUUUUUGAGGAAGAUUAGCCCUGAGCUAACAUCUGCUGCCAAUCCUCCUCUUUUUGCUGAGGAAGACUGGCCUUGAGCUCACAUCUCAUCGUCCUCUACUUUAUAUGUGGGACGCCUGCCACAGCAUGGCUUGCCAAGCAGUGCCAUGUCCACACCCAGGAUUCGAACUGGCAAACCCCGGGCCGCUGAAGCAGAACAUGCAAACUUAACUGCUGCGCUACCAGGCCAGCCCUAAAAUCUGCAUUUUUAACAAGAUGCCUGAGUGAUUCCCAUGCAUAUCCAAAUUUAAAAAGCCCUGAUCUACAAGAUAGGAAAACUACUUAGCUGGUAAAUCUUAUGUCACAUGUUGCAAUUUAUGUUUUUUUUUUAAGAUUUUAUUUUUUCCUUUUUCUCCCAAAGCCCCCCCGUACAUAGUUGUGUAUUUUUUUUUUCACUGUGGGUCCUUCUAGCUGUGGCAUGUGGGAUGCUGCCUCAGCAUGGCCAGACAAGCGGUGACGUGUCGGUGCCUAGGAUUCGAACUGGCAAAACCCUGGGCUGCCGAAGCAGAGCACGUGAGCUCAACCACUCGGCCAUGAGGCCGGCUCCGAAAUCUAUGUUGUUUUGCAUGGCUGAUUGAUAUGUAAUUAGUUUGCCACCCAUAUGAUUAUGAAUUUAUGUCCAAAAGUAAACUCAACUAGGGGUUAAACCAUUUGUACUCUACUGAACAUUUCCAAGAAACCUCUUUGGAGCCAAUGAUUUUGAGAUCCUUUUAAAUAAAGAGCUUGCUCUCUGGCUGAUGGAUGAAAGAUUCUUUUUUUUUUCCCCCUAUUGUAGCAAAAUAUGCAUAACAUAAAUUUACCAUUUUCACCGUUUUUAAGUGUACAGUUCAGUACAUUCACACUGUUGUGCAACCAUCGCCAACAUCCAUCUUCAGAACUUUUUCAUCUUCUCAAACUGAAACUCUAUAUCCACAGUAAACAGUAACUCGCAUUGCCCUCUCCUCCCAGCCCCUGGCAGCCACCACUCUACUUUCUGUCUCUAGGAACUUGACUACUCUGGGUACUUCAUAUAAGUGAAAUCAUACGUUAUUUGUCCUUUUUGUGCCUGGCUUAUUUCACUUAGCACAGAGUCUUCGACGUUCAUCCAUGUUGUAGCAUGUAUCAGAAUUUCCUUCCUUUUUAAGGCCAAAUAAUAUUCCUUUGUAUGUAUCUACCACAUUUUGUUUACCAUUCAUCCAUCAAUGGACACUUGGGUCGCUUCUAUGUUUUAGGACUGUGAAUAAUGCAGCUGUGAACGUGGUGUGGAAAGAUUCAUUCUUGUAACCAGCAUUCAUGCCAGGCAUAUAGCUUCCCUCUCCCAGUUUAUCCACAGUAUUUCCUAG
rnacentral:lncRNA from 1 species